GUCUGGUGCCAGCAGCCGCGGUAAUUCCAGCUCCAAUAGCGUAUAUUAAAGUUGUUGCAGUUAAAAAGCUCGUAGUUAAUAUUCUGUUAAUUUUUAUAUACAAUGCUACGGUAUUUAUAUAAUAUUAACAUAAUUCAUAUUACUUUUUAGUAUAUGAAACUUUACUUUGAGAAAAUUAGAGUGCUUAAAGCAGGCUAUUGCCUUGAAUACUCCAGCAUGGAAUAAUAUUAAGGAUUUUUAUUCUUCUUAUUGGUUCUAGAAUAAAUAUAAUGAUUAAUAGGGACAGUUGGGGGCAUUUGUAUUUAACAGUCAGAGGUGAAAUUCUUAGAUUUGUUAAAGACAAACUACUGCGAAAGCAUUUGCCAAGGAUGUUUUCAUUAAUCAAGAACGAAAGUUAGGGGAUCGAAGACGAUCAGAUACCGUCGUAGUCUUAACCAUAAACUAUGCCAACUA
rnacentral:rRNA from 1 species